rnacentral:rRNA from 1 species
UACAGAGGGUGCAAGCGUUGUCCGGAAUCAUUGGGCGUAAAGAGCGUGUAGGCGGCCACUUAAGUCCUGCGUGAAAUCCUGCGGCUCAACCGCAGGCGGUCGUGGGAAACUGGGUGGCUAGAGUGCGGGAGAGGAGAGUGGAAUUCCUGGUGUAGCGGUGGAAUGCGCAGAUAUCGGGAGGAACACCAGUGGCGAAGGCGACUUCCUGGCCUGUUCUUGACGCUGAGGCGCGAAAGCUAGGGGAGCAAACGGG